rnacentral:rRNA from 2 species
CACCGGCGGCCCGAGUGGUAACCGGAUUUAUUGGGUUUAAAGGGUGCGUAGGCUGUUAUAUAAGUCAGUGGUGAAAUAUUCGGGCUCAACCGGGAUACUGCCAUUGAUACUGUAUAGCUGGAAUAUGGUUGCUGUGGGUGGAAUGUGUGGUGUAGCGGUGAAAUGCAUAGAUAUCACACAGAAUAUCGAUUGCGAAGGCAACUCACAAAGCCAUUAUUGACGCUGAUGCACGAAAGUGUGGGGAUCAAAC